AUUUUCUCUCCCCCUCCACUAUCCGUCACCGUCCCAGCUUGGGCGUGGAGUAGCGACCGCGGAGGUCCAGCGUCAAGAGGCAGUGCAGGCCGACCUGCUUGGGGGUGGGGAACGGCGGCCGCUGUUGAGGUCAGCCGGAGCUUGGCCGGGGAAAGCUGCCGGCGAGGUGCAGCCAGCGUGGUCGCCGACGUCCCCGCGCAGCGGCAGCCACCGAAGAAAUUAGGCGGUCGCGCGGCGCCGCUGCAGAUUAUUCAUCUUUGCCCCUUCCUCUUGGACCUCGCUGCUAUUCCUUCCUGCGACCGCGCCGUCCGGCGUUGAGGAGCUCGUGAUUGUCAGCAGGGACAACGAGGGUGGGCGCCUGGGGGAGACACCGUUCCCUCCCGAUGCUACCCUGGGCAUCGCGGAUGGCAUUAGCGAAGCAGUCAUAAUCGUACGCGCCAGAGCUCCACCGUAUUGCCCGAGAUCUCUGCCGCGGCCGUUGAUACAAGCACGCCCUUGAGGAAUCUGUGCAGUCACCAGGAAGAUGUGGCCACAAGACUCGUGGAGCGUGUUUUCGACUUGCAAAGAGAAUGACUGAACGUUUCUAGGUGCACGUUAGGCACAGUUUCAGUUCUAAAAUUCAAUCGUAGAUUGCUAGGAAUCUACACGAUUCUUGUGUUUCUAGGUGCACGUGACAGUUUCAGUCUUGCACAGAGAAUGGCUUAACGGUUUUUCCUUCUCCAGCUGUGAUUCACUCUUUUUUCUUUGAGGUUUCUGAAAUUUCUCAGAGUGACCAUCUUUCCUGACCAUUAUAACUCGUGUCAUUUGUUAUGCGGUGCAGUAGCUUCUAUUAUAGUUCAUCUACACUCGGUUAAUUGAAAGUAUGAUUGAAUGCAGAUUCAGGUGUGCUAUUUGUUUUCUGUCUGUCUAAUGAAGUAUUAUUGUGAUACAUGUAUAUGCCUCCAGGCUGGACAGUUUAGAUGCUCUGCUGCCUCCGUUUAAGUCUUGUGCUCUGCUUUCUACUAUGAUGGAGUUUUAAUCAGCAAAAAUUCGAUAAUCAUCCCACUUCCUAUGCUUGGGAUCAAAUACAGAAUUGUUGGAUUGGCUCUUCUACCGAACAUUGUUGUUUACUUUAUUUAUGUUGCCCAGCUAUUUCUUCAAGGAAUGUUGGCCAGCUAUUUAUUCAAGGAAGAACCAACAAAGCCUGGGGCCUGAUAUAUUGGCAUCUAAUAGAAGUUGGAAUAUAUUGCACCUGAUAAUGAGUGACUAAUCCACACAGCUUUAAUACAACAAUGAAGACACUUCAAAUAAAAUUGGUGAUCUACAUACAUAGUCAAAAAAAUUCCCGAAAGCUAGCAUUGUCCACUGCCUUCUCUUUCCAGAAAUUAGCUGGGCCAAAUAUUUCCUUCAACAAAACAUAUUUUAAUCUUAAUAAUGGUUGUUUCUUAAUUUAACUGUGGUGGUAACUAUAUUAAUGUGCAGUUUUUUCCCCAGAAGGAAACUUAGUAAUCAGUCAACUGUGAAUCCUCCAGAUUGUACACCUUUCAGGACUUGGUCUUUUCUUUCGCUUUCCUCUAUGGGAGCUAAAACACAUCAUAAUGAAGUACUUUUAUGCACAUGUCCUACAGUUUUUUAAUGACUCGGAGAUGCAGGAUAAUCCUUAAGUUGAUUCAUAAGGUCUUCUACCAACCGAAUACAAGAGUAUACGAUGGCCUAAAGUCCUGGAUAGAAGGAUUUAGAUGUGGGAUCGAAGGUCACUUGGAGGACAAUAGGCAGGCUGUACCGGAAUUUACUCAACUGCCAAUUACGGAUCAAUUAUACUGUUGUCUUGCAUUGUGUUCUCCAGCUGGUUGUACAGCUAUUGCCGCUACAGGUCUGAACUCUGAAUUUACUCAACUUCCAAUUACGGAUCAAUUCAACAACGGUCUGAAGCAGAUCAGAUUGCAGCCAUUGUCUAAGCUCCCGGUGGAUGCACUGUAGGGGAGCUACCAAGCCUGGCAUUGAAGUAUCAAGUCGAGAAUAAGGACACAAAUACCAUCUAUAUUUUGCGUUGUGCACUAAAGCCGCGUCAGUUAUUGCACAAACUGACAGGAUGUCAAGCCAUGCUACAGAGAGAGGGAGAGGGAGAGAGAGAGAGUUCAGAAGCAGUUGCUGCCCUAGCCAAGAAAAGGUACAUCCCCACAUUAGUUCCAUACUGAUGAAGUUACAGUAGAACUACCAAUCUUUCCAUUCACUCUCUGCAGUGGAAACAAUGAGCAUAAAAAACCAUUACGAAUAGUUCCCGCCUAAGUAGAUCAUUGGACGCUGCCAGCUCAAAUUUUAGAAUGAACUUCAGGUAAAUAAAAGGAGUUUCAUAACAAGCAUAAAAACACUAAUUCUGGAAUUUCCUCCAUGCAGGAAACACCAAUAUCUCAUCUCCAGCAACAGGUCAAUGUAGCCUGAAAGAGAGAAAGAAAAAGAGUAUUCCUACUAAGUUAAACUAGCAUAAUUGCUUCAUCAAUAUAGCUAUUUGGUGGGCACCCGCCAUCGGAAAUUCUAUAGUACUGCAUCCAUUGCUUAUGUUGGACAAUUUCCAAUGUAAUUACCUCUAUUACAAAUUAUUAGCACCACCUAACCGUCUCCGCACUUGAGUGUAGAUGUAUGUGUCUCUAUUUUAAACAUAGAUUAUUAUUCACAGGCGCGGCGUGUCGCCGCGCUCCCCUU